ACUUAAAUAGCUUAUAAAUUAGAGCAUAAUAUUGAAGAUAUUAGGGAAAUAUAUUUUAUUUUUAAGUA
rnacentral:tRNA from 1 species